rnacentral:tRNA from 11 species
GCUGUUAUAGCUCAGUGGUAGAGCACUUCCUUGGUAAGGAAGAGGUCCCGAGUUCAAGUCUCGGUAACAGCU